rnacentral:rRNA from 1 species
CCUACGGGUGGCAGCAGUGAGGAAUAUUGGUCAAUGGGCGAGAGCCUGAACCAGCCAAGUCGCGUGAGGGAAGACGGUCCUAUGGAUUGUAAACCUCUUUUGUCGGGGAGCAAAAAGGCCUCGUGAGGCCACAAGUGAGAGUACCCGAAGAAAAAGCAUCGGCUAACUCCGUGCCAGCAGCCGCGGUAAUACGGAGGAUGCGAGCGUUAUUCGGAUUUAUUGGGUUUAAAGGGUGCGUAGGCGGAUCGUUAAGUCAGUGGUCAAAUUGAGGGGCUCAACCCCUUCCCGCCAUUGAAACUGGCGCUCUUGAGUGGAAGAGAAGUAUGCGGAAUGCGUGGUGUAGCGGUGAAAUGCAUAGAUAUCACGCAGAACCCCGAUUGCGAAGGCAGCAUGCCGGCUUCCGACUGACGCUGAAGCACGAAAGCGUGGGGAUCGAACAGGAUUAGAUACCCCUGUAGUC